rnacentral:ribozyme from 14 species
UUUUUUUUUUUUUUUUUUUUUUUUUAUCUACGUGUAGCACAAAGCGGAGAACAUAGUUCAGCUAGGCAAUAAUGCUUAAAUAUGUAGCUAUUAUGUACAGGAAAAAGGAAAGAAGUUCAUUUUUUUUUUUGCCCUCGAUUUUUUGAUUGAAGGAAAUUGUCAAAACGAAAAUAG